UCCCUGGUGGUCCAGUGGUUAGGACUCUGCACUUUCACUGCAGGGGGUACAGGUUCCAUCCCUGAUCGGGGAA
rnacentral:tRNA from 1 species